GACGAACGCUGGCGGCGUGCUUAACACAUGCAAGUCGAACGGAAAGGCCCUGCUUUUGUGGGGUGCUCGAGUGGCGAACGGGUGAGUAACACGUGAGUAACCUGCCCUUGACUUUGGGAUAACUUCAGGAGACUGGGGCUAAUACCGGAGAGGAUCUCCUGCUGCAUGGUGGGCGUUGGAAAGUGUCGGCGGUUGUGGAUGGACUGGCGGCUUAUGAGCUUGUUAGUGGGGUAGUGGCGUACCAGGGCUGUGACGGCUAGCCGGCGUGAGAGGUUUACCAGCGACAAGAGUACUGAGAUAGGGAGCAGAAGGGAACGGGCGGCAGUAGUGGAAAACCUGGCGCAGUGGGGGGACGCCUGUUGUGACGACUUCGGGUGCGGAAUGCCGUGUUUUGGGUUGUGAACAGCUUUGGAAUGUGAUGAAGAGUGCUUGACGGUAAUGGGUAAAGAAGCACCGGCUAACUACGUG
rnacentral:rRNA from 1 species